rnacentral:rRNA from 1 species
UCGGGAAUUUUGCUCAAUGGGCGAAAGCCUGAAGCAGCAACGCCGCGUGAGGGAUGAAGGCCUUCGGGUCGUAAACCUCUUUUUCCAGGGACGAUGAUGACGGUACCUGGAGAAUAAGCCACGGCAAACUACGUGCCAGCAGCCGCGGUAAUACGUAGGUGGCGAGCGUUGUCCGGAUUUACUGGGCGUAAAGAGCGCGCAGGCGGUCGAUCAAGUCGGAUGUGAAAGCCCCCGGCUCAACUGGGGAGGGUCAUUCGAUACUGGUCGACUCGAAGGCGGGAGAGGGAAGCGGAAUUCCCGGUGUAGUGGUGAAAUGCGUAGAUAUCGGGAGGAACACCAGUGGCGAAGGCGGCUUCCUGGCCCGUUCUUGACGCUGAGGCGCGAAAGCUAGGGGAGCAAACGGGAUUAGAUACCCCUGUAGUCC